rnacentral:lncRNA from 1 species
UCACACAUAAAGUAUAAGUGUUCUAUCAUUGCACCAUAUGCUACAUACAAAUAAUUUAUAUGUUUACAUUAAUAUUCUAGCAUUGUCUUUGUGCUGUCACUAAUUUAAUUUUUAAAGUACAUUGAUAGAAAAACAAAUAUAUAGGUUUACAACUAUCUUCUACCUUUAUGCAGUCUUUACUUUUAUAUCAUCGAUAGUCUAUAUUUUAUACAUAUAAUAAUUUACAAACAUUUAUAAAAAGUUGAGAGGACCUGCUGCAUCUGUCGUACUGUUCUAAGUCUGAAAAUUUGCCUUCGUUUGGGAAGCACUUGCACAUUUUUCAAUUGUACAUAGUAAAUAAGUAAAAUAAUUGCAUAUUUCAGAUUAAAUGAAACUCUUUGGUUUCAGAUAAUUUGAAUAUCUGGUCUCCAGAUUUUUGUUUUAAGUAAGGAAAUCUAGGCCUCCAUAAUAAACUUUUUAAUCCCAGCUACUGUGUUUUAUAUCUGUAAGAGUUUGCUAAUCAGGAAAAAAAAAAACCCUUGUUUUCAAUAUUACUUUAUAUUUAACAAAUCCAAGCUCUAAUGAAUUCAAAAUGUCUUUCAAAUUCUGCUUGGCUAUGGUAUUUUGUUUGUACGCCAGGGUUGUUUUAAACUUGGCUUCCAACCCUGAGCCAUUUUUUGUUUUUUUAUUUUUUUGUUCUUUUGUACCACAACGUGUUUAAUAAAAAUCUGUUCUCAUUAAUGAAUAGUGCUUUGAUUAUAUAGUGAAAUAGUGCUGUCUUAUAAGCAAAUGGUGUGACUUCAGUGAUGAAAGCUCUUCCAAAAGAGUAGGUAGCAAGCUACACGAAAGAAUUGUCUCUUAAAGCGAGGCAUACGACGUCAGUUAGAAAUCAUGAGCAGUCACAAUGCUAAUGUAAAAGUUGCUCAAUAUGACAUUUGUUCAUCUAUUUUGCCCUCUUCUAUGAGGGGCGGGUAAUGAAGUGUACAUUUGACUGUCCUUUGCCAGUUGGAAAGGUUCCAAAAACAAGGAGGCAUUUGUACAUGUGCAGAUGUUGGCAGGGAUCCCCUUUCUCUUGUUGUCAAAGACCAUUUUAUUUUCACAAAGAUGUGCUUGUGUCUGUUCUACAAUAUGGCGUGUGAAUAGUACGCUGAAUGGAGAUGGUUUUGUUUUUCUUUUUACAUGAUAAAAUAAUGUGAUCCCACAUACUUAUUAAACUUUUAGUGUUCCAUUUUUACGUCAGAAUGCAUUCACACUUCUUAUAAAUAGGCAAGUCGAUUGUAGCCAUUUGUCUAACAAAAAAUGUCAAGGUCAUGAGAUAUUUUAAAUAGAGAGGAAAGUUGAAACUGUGUGGUUUGUGAACAGUUUUUGCACCGCACGUUUCACGUGAGUGAUCUGUCUGUCACUUUUCUCAGCUCCCAAGAGAAAUAAAAAUAUUGUUAAGGAUUAAAAACACAUUUACCUCUAAUUUCUAAAGACUAAGUAGCUCUUGUCUCUGCCCCCAAAGUGAAUUUAUUAAUUUACUAUAUUUAAGAUCCAUGAUCUCUUUUCAUAUAAGUAGUAUUUUGUCAUAGAAUACUUGUAAAAGUUAUAUAUGCAAAGUAUGGUGGUUGUGUAUACUUAGACUUAAAGGGGGUGCAAAGUGAGAAUGUGUUCUAAAGUUGUCUCUCUUCUAGCAUGAGGACUUUAGAGACAAUCUGUACAAUUAAAAGUUGAGGCAAAAUUAGCCUUGCUUUUUGGGUUUUGCUGUUGUUGUUGUUGGUUUGUUUGUUUAAAGAAGAAAGGCCAUACCUCUGCCUCUUCAGGUGUAUGUAGAUUAUCCAGAGUUUGAAAAUAGAAGCUCCUUCUCUGGGGGGUUUAAGGUUUGCCGUCUUCCUGGUUUAUCUCACUCCUUUAAUGCUGGUUUAAGUAUCAUUUCAUAUUUUUUUUUCCAGCUAAGAACAAGACUGACACAAACCUGGCCUUGCAACCUUACACAUGAAAGUAAUAUUAACUUCUAACCAUCUUUUGUUUUUCUCCAGUAUUCAUUUUGGUUACAGCAUAUUUAGUGGUAGAAAGUAUCUUUGAUGGGGCCAGGGACAUUGCUCAUUUGUAAAGCCCGGCAUGCACAGAGCCUUGAGUUGGAUUCCCAGCAUGGGAUCACGGGCAGAUCUAGGUGAUAAUUACGUUUAAAAUGACUUGUUUAUGCUUUUAAAGACAUUACUUUUGAUUUAGAACUAGAAUCUUCCUAGUAGCUAAAAAGCCCAUUAGAAAACUCCACUAAUGUG